rnacentral:misc_RNA from 1 species
UUAAGUUCAGCGGGUAGUCUUACUUGAUUUGAGAUCGAGUUUACAAGUUUUACUAGGUAAAACUUGGUAAUCCUGCAUCAGUCAGCGUAUAGUACAUUCGACCUUUAUAUUAGCUAGAGCAAAAGUAAUAAUCCGUUUGACGGGACUAAAUAAAUAUGCUUUUAGCUCAGAAGAAUGUCCAGCUGCACCUGCAUUUCAAG